rnacentral:rRNA from 1 species
UACGGAGGGUGCAAGCGUUAUCCGGAUUCACUGGGUUUAAAGGGUGUGUAGGCGGGUAAGUAAGUCAGUGGUGAAAUCUCCAGGCUCAACCUGGAAACUGCCAUUGAUACUAUUUAUCUUGAAUAUCGUUGAGGUAGGCGGAAUAUGUCAUGUAGCGGUGAAAUGCUUAGAUAUGACAUAGAACACCGAUUGCGAAGGCAGCUUACUAGACUGUAACUGACGCUGAGGCACGAAAGUGUGGGGAUCAAACAGG